CGGUAAACGGCGGCCGUAACUAUAACGGUCCUAAGGUAGCGAAAUUCCUUGUCGGGUAAGUUCCGACCUGCACGAAUGGCGUAAUGAUGGCCAGGCUGUCUCCACCCGAGACUCAGUGAAAUUGAACUCGCUGUGAAGAUGCAGUGUACCCGCGGCAAGACGGAAAGACCCCGUGAACCUUUACUAUAGCUUGACACUGAACAUUGAGCCUUGAUGUGUAGGAUAGGUGGGAGGCUUUGAAGUGUGGACGCCAGUCUGCAUGGAGCCGACCUUGAAAUACCACCCUUUAAUGUUUGAUGUUCUAACGUUGGCCCGUUAUCCGGGUUGCGGACAGUGUCUGGUGGGUAGUUUGACUGGGGCGGUCUCCUCCUAAAGAGUAACGGAGGAGCACGAAGGUUGGCUAAUCCUGGUCGGACAUCAGGAGGUUAGUGCAAUGGCAUAAGCCAGCUUGACUGCGAGCGUGACGGCGCGAGCAGGUGCGAAAGCAGGUCAUAGUGAUCCGGUGGUUCUGAAUGGAAGGGCCAUCGCUCAACGGAUAAAAGGUACUCCGGGGAUAACAGGCUGAUACCGCCCAAGAGUUCAUAUCGACGGCGGUGUUUGGCACCUCGAUGUCGGCUCAUCACAUCCUGGGGCUGAAGUAGGUCCCAAGGGUAUGGCUGUUCGCCAUUUAAAGUGGUACGCGAGCUGGGUUUAGAACGUCGUGAGACAGUUCGGUCCCUAUCUGCCGUGGGCGCUGGAGAACUGAGGGGGGCUGCUCCUAGUACGAGAGGACCGGAGUGGACGCAUCACUGGUGUUCGGGUUGUCAUGCCAAUGGCACUGCCCGGUAGCUAAAUGCGGAAGAGAUAAGUGCUGAAAGCAUCUAAGCACGAAACUUGCCCCG
rnacentral:rRNA from 1 species